UUCGAUUGUGCCAGCAGCCGCGGUAAUACGGAGGGUGCGAGCGUUGUUCGGAAUUACUGGGCGUAAAGCGCGUGUAGGCGGCCUCCUCAGUCUGGUGUGAAAGCCCGGGGCUCACCCCCGGAAGUGCAUUGGAUACUGGGAGGCUGGAGUACCGGAGAGGAGGGUGGAAUUCCUGGUGUAGCGGUGAAAUGCGUAGAUAUCAGGAGGAACACCGGUGGCGAAGGCGGCCCUCUGGACGGAUACUGACGCUGAGACGCGAAAGCGUGGGGAGCAAACAGGAUUAGAUACCCCUGUAGUCCUAGCCGUAAACGAUGGAUACUAGGCGUUGCCCGUAUCGACCCGGGCAGUGUCGUAGCCAACGCGUUAAGUAUCCCGCCUGGGGAGUACGCUCGCA
rnacentral:rRNA from 1 species